rnacentral:misc_RNA from 1 species
GGGAAGAUGGAUUGGAGGAUGUAACUGAGGAAGUUAUGAGGAUAAGGAAGGAAGGAACAAUUGAAGAAUACCAAGAUAGGUUUGAGGAUGUAAGGAUUAGACUUGAGAGGGUUAUGCCUAACUUGGUUGAAGCCUAUUUUCUUUUUGUAUUCAUGGGGGGAUUAAAAGAUGAUAUCAGGCCUAUGGUUAGGAUGAUGAAACCUUCUACACUUUCCCAUGCUUUUGAGAUUGCUAAGUUCCAAGAACAAUUCUUGAAUAGUUACCAAAAUAAUUUUAGAUCUACUUCUUAAUACUUCUUCAACGCCUUCCUAUAGAUUUGCAGAGUCACAUUUCACCAAUUCCUAUACACCCAAGUUGGGGAGGGUAUUGUUACAUAUU